rnacentral:rRNA from 1 species
AUUGAACGCUGGCGGCAGGCCUAACACAUGCAAGUCGAACGAGUGGCGGACGGGUGAGUAAUGUCUGGGAAACUGCCUGAUGGAGGGGGAUAAAUACUGGAAACGGUAGCUAAUACCGCAUACCAUAAGAUGUGCCCAGAUGGGAUUAGCUAGUAGGUGGGGUAACGGCUCACCUAGGCGACGAUCAGUAGCGGGUCUGAGAGGAUGUUCAGCCACACUGGGACUGAGACACGUCCCAGACUCCUACGGGAGGCAGCAGUGGGUAAUCUUGGACAAUGGGCGCAAGCCUGAUCCAGCAAUGCCGCGUGUCUGAAGAAGGCCUUCGGGUUGUAAAGGACUUUUGUCAGGGAAGCGGUACCUGAAGAAUAAGCACCGGCUAACUACGUGCCAGCAGCCGCGGUAAUUC